CCUACGGGUGGCAGCAGUGAGGAAUAUUGGUCAAUGGACGGAAGUCUGAACCAGCCAUGCCGCGUGCAGGAUGACGGCUCUAUGAGUUGUAAACUGCUUUUGUAUUAGGGUAAACACCCCUACGUGUAGGGGCUUGAAAGUAUAAUACGAAUAAGGAUCGGCUAACUCCGUGCCAGCAGCCGCGGUAAUACGGAGGAUGCGAGCGUUAUCCGGAUUUAUUGGGUUUAAAGGGUGCGCAGGCGGAUUUUUAAGUCAGCGGUCAAAUCGUGGGGCUCAACCCCAUCCAGCCGUUGAAACUGGGGAUCUAGAGUGUGCGAGAGGUAUGCGGAAUGCGUGGUGUAGCGGUGAAAUGCAUAGAUAUCACGCAGAACCCCGAUUGCGAAGGCAGCAUACCGGUGCACAACUGACGCUCAGGCACGAAAGCGUGGGUAUCGAACAGGAUUAGAUACCCUUGUAGUC
rnacentral:rRNA from 1 species